AGAAAUGAUUAGCAUUGGCCAUUAUUUCUUUUCCUGAACGAUGAAAGAGCAAGUUGGGCGAAAUGGUUAUUGACAUAUUUCAAUAUCUGGUUGUCCGAGUUCCGAAAUAGUUACUCCGUUUGCUAUAGUUUUUCUAUGCUAUAUUAUCAAAUUGCAACUGGCAAAGUUACUUUGUAUGGAAUGGAAAAAUUAGUGGACAUGAAUGUCUGAAUGGUUUCUGAAACUAAUGGAAUUAUUUGAUGCACG
rnacentral:misc_RNA from 1 species